rnacentral:lncRNA from 1 species
UGGGGUCGAAGUACUCAACCAUUGUCUCUGGCCAAGGAGACGGUGGCAGCGGUGGCGACGGAAUUAUUGGCGACGCUGGUGCCAACGGUGAUGGUUCUGGAGGUGGAAAAGGUGAAGGUGUGGGUGUUGGUGACGGAGGUGAAAAAGGUGAGGAUGAGGGUGGUGGUGAUGGAGGUGAGAGAGGUGAGGGUGUUGGUGAUGGAGGUGAAAAAGGUGAGGGUGAGGGUGUGGGUAUGGGUGGCGGUGAUGGAGGUGAGAGAGGUGAGGGUGUUGGUGAUGGAGGUGAAAAAGGUGAGGGUGAGGGUGUGGGUAUGGGUGGCGGUGAUGGAGGUGAGAGAGGUGAGGGUGCUGGUGAUAGAAUUGGGGACGACGGUACUGCUGGCAAUGUGGGUGGAAAAGGUAGUGAUGGUGUUGGCGAUGGAAUUAUUGGCGAUGGUGGUGCCACCGGCGAUGGAGGUGGAAAAGGAAGUGACGGUGUUGGU